AUUGAACGCUGGCGGCAUGCCUUACACAUGCAAGUCGAACGGCGGCACGGGUGCUUGCACCUGGUGGCGAGUGGCGAACGGGUGAGUAAUACAUCGGAACGUACCUUAUCGUGGGGGAUAACGCAGCGAAAGCUGUGCUAAUACCGCAUACGCCCUGAGGGGGAAAGCGGGGGAUCGCAAGACCUCGCGCGAUUAGAGCGGCCGAUGCCUGAUUAGCUUGUUGGUGGGGUAAAAGCCCACCAAGGCGACAAUCAGUAGCUGGUCUGAGAGGAGGAUCAGCCUAACUGGGACUGAGACACGGCCCAGACUCCUACGGGAGGCAGCAGUGGGGAAUUUUGGACCAUGGGGGCAACCCUGUUCCAGCAAUGCCGCGUGAGUGAAGAAGGCCUUCGGGUUGUAAAGCUCUUUUGUCAGGGAAGAAACACCGGCUCUAACACAGUCCGGGAAUGACGGUACCUGAAGAAUAAGCACCGGCUAACUACGUGCCAGCCGCCGCCGUAA
rnacentral:rRNA from 1 species